UGGUGCUACCGUCAGGGGUAGA
rnacentral:miRNA from 1 species